UACCCACCCCUUCUAUGAGUUUGGUUGCAGCCUUUCUUCUGUUUUGGUGAAUGUGUUGCCCUCCACCAGCUCACAGUGAACAUGGACCUGCACUCUCCUAUUUGCUCCCAGACUAGGGCAUGUCAGACUGAGCUGGCGCGCGCGCGUGUGUUUGUGUGUGUGUGUGUGUGUGUGUGUGUGUGUGAUCACGCCUACCAUAUUGGCUUCCUGUCCCUGGCACAUCAGCUUUUCUAGCUGGCUAAGCCUGUCCCCACAACCACUGUUGCCACUGAGACCACCCCAACUCCUUCCCUGUAAGCUUCAGGCCUGUGCUAUGCGGGGUUUUGUUAAGCUGUUUAGUAUUAAUUGAUUUUUUUUUUCCAUUUUUUUCUUUCUUUCCCUGGGCGGGUCAAUAGCUGGAUGCUUCAGGAGCAGAGGAUCUAUCAACUGCAGACCAAGCAUAGGGAGACGCAGGCAGACCUGGAACGGAAACCCCAGCCAGCUCCAGCCGCUCCGACAGUACUUGGUGGCUGGACGUUCAGCAGCAGGAAGCAUGCCACGGGCCAGGAAAUGACCCAAACCUUGAGGUCUGAUGGAGAAAACAAAGACUCAGCUGGGAGAGGCACCUGCUUUCUGAAAUGGAAUCACCUACUUUCAAGCCCAGGCUUUCAGAGAGGAUGA
rnacentral:lncRNA from 1 species